rnacentral:rRNA from 1 species
UACGUAGGGGGCAAGCGUUGUCCGGAAUUAUUGGGCGUAAAGCGCGCGCAGGCGGCCGAUUAAGUCUGGUGUUUAACCCCGGGGCUCAACCCCGGGUCGCACUGGAAACUGGUUGGCUUGAGUACAGAAGAGGAAAGUGGAAUUCCACGUGUAGCGGUGAAAUGCGUAGAUAUGUGGAGGAACACCAGUGGCGAAGGCGACUUUCUGGGCUGUAACUGACGCUGAGGCGCGAAAGCGUGGGGAGCAAACAGG